CAGCCGCCGCGGUAAUACAGAGGGUGCGAGCGUUAAUCGGAUUUACUGGGCGUAAAGCGUGCGUAGGCGGCUUCUUAAGUCGGAUGUGAAAUCCCUGAGCUUAACUUAGGAAUUGCAUUCGAUACUGUGAAGCUAGAGUAUGGGAGAGGAUGGUAGAAUUCCAGGUGUAGCGGUGAAAUGCGUAGAGAUCUGGAGGAAUACCGAUGGCGAAGGCAGCCAUCUGGCCUAAUACUGACGCUGAGGUACGAAAGCAUGGGGAGCAAACAGGAUUAGAUACCCGCGUAGUCCCUGUCUCUUAUAC
rnacentral:rRNA from 1 species